rnacentral:rRNA from 1 species
UAGGGAAUCUUCGGCAAUGGGGGGAACCCUGACCGAGCAACGCCGCGUGAGUGAAGAAGGUUUCCGGAUCGUAAAGCUCUGUUGUUAAGGAAGAACGAGUGUGAGAAUGGAAAGUUCAUGCUGUGACGGUACUUAACCAGAAAGGGACGGCUAACUACGUGCCAGCAGCCGCGGUAAUACGUAGGUGGCAAGCGUUGUCCGGAUUUAUUGGGCGUAAAGCGAGCGCAGGCGGUCAAUUAAGACUGAUGUGAAAGCCCCCGGCUCAACCGGGGAGGGUCAAUGGGAACUGGGUGACUUGAGUGCAGAAAAGGAGAGUGGAAUUCCAUGUGUAGCGGUGAAAUGCGUAGGUAUAGGGAGGAACACCAGUGGCGAAGGCGACUCUCUGGUCUGUAGCUGACGCUGAGGUUCGAAAGCGUGGGUAGCAAACAGG